AUUCGAUUGUGCCAGCAGCCGCGGUAAUACGUAGGGUCCAAGCGUUAAUCGGAAUUACUGGGUGUAAAGCGUCCGCAGGUGGCUUGAUAAGAUAGACGUGAAAUCCCUGGGCUCAACCUAGGAAUUGCGUUUAUGACUGUCUCGCUAGAGUAUGGGAGAGGGGGGUGGAAUUCCGCGUGUAGCAGUGAAAUGCGUAGAGAUGCGGAGGAACACCGAUGGCGAAGGCAACCCCCUGGCCUAAUACUGACACUCAUGGACGAAAGCGUGGGGAGCAAACAGGAUUAGAUACCCUGGUAGUCCUGGCGGUAAACGAUGAAUGCUGGGUGUGCGAGUAGAGAUACCUGGUGUGCCGUAGUUAACGCGAUAAGCAUUCCGCCUGGGGAGUACGGUCGCAAG
rnacentral:rRNA from 1 species